rnacentral:rRNA from 1 species
GACGAACGCUGGCGGCGUGCUUAACACAUGCAAGUCGAACGGUGACGGAGAGCUUGCUCUCCUGAUCAGUGGCGAACGGGUGAGUAACACGUGGGCAACCUGCCCCAGACUUCGGGAUAACGCUUCGAAAGAGGUGCUAAUACCGGAUACGAACUCCUUGGGCAUCCUUGGAGUUGGAAAGUUUUUCGGUCUGGGAUGGGCCCGCGGCCUAUCAGCUUGUUGGUGAGGUAACGGCUCACCAAGGCGACGACGGGUAGCCGGCCUGAGAGGGCGACCGGCCACAAUGGGACUGAGACACGGCCCAGACUCCUACGGGAGGCAGCAGUGGGGAAUAUUGCGCAAUGGGCGAAAGCCUGACGCAGCAACGCCGCGUGAGGGAUGACGGCCUUCGGGUUGUAAACCUCUUUCAGCAGGGAAGAAGCGAAAGUGACAGUACCUGCAGAAGAAGCACCGGCUAACUACGUGCCAGCCGCCGCCGUAAGAC